AGAAACAUAUGGAUCAAGAGUCCAGAUCAAAGAGAACGGAGAAUGACGACAUCUCAUCACUUCGCUCUUGGAUAACCCUAAAACGGCCAGCCGACGAAUCUCUUCGACAUUCCAUCUCACCUCUGCGCAUGGCGACCAAGUGAUGUUCUUCAGAGAUGCUUCACUCCGUCCACGCGAAGCCAAGUUGAAGUUUCGUCUGAUUCACAUCGGGGAGGCUCGAAAUCCAAAGUCGAAGAUCCUUAUUGGACAAGAGAUUCUCCUUAUCGACGAAGAGAGAACGGUUAUUUAUCUACCGCCACCUCCGUGAGUGGUCGCUCUGGAGCUAUUUGCGUAGGAAAUCGCGCCUUUCCGUUUUGCUCAGCCUUUGAGUUCUCUCCUCUCCCUGUGUUAACGUGUUCCUCUUCUUGAUGUCUCUGUUUCUCAUAUCUGCUAUUGUUGAUUUUGUCUAGAAGCAGCAGGUCUAUUCUAAGUUGCUGCGUCCGAGUUUCAUUACGGUCCAAACCAUGUCAGAGUCUCAGACAGCUCUAAAGAAUCAGCCACAGUCCUCGGCCUCCUCUGGAAAGAAGCAAGCUUUGAUAUCUUUAUCUGACAAGUAGGAUUAAGCUACUCUUGGCAACGGUCUUCAAGAGUUAGCUCUCAUUUUGUUUUUUUUUUUCUCGAAAAGAAGCUUAAUGACCGUGCGAAGACUUUGCACCCAAACAUACACGGUGGUAUCCUCGCUAGAAGAGAUGUGGAGCAUCAUAUGGAAGCUUUUAAUGAGCAUGGCGUUGGUACAUUUGAUGUGGUGGUUAUCAAUUUGUAUCCGUUCUACGACAAAGUUACUGCUCCAGGUGGGAUCAGUUUUGAGGAUGGGAUUGAGAACAUCGACAUUGGUGGUGCUGCUAUGAUUAAAGCAGUUGCUAAGAACCACAAAGAUGUCUUCAUCGUUGUCGAUUCAGAGGAUUAUCAAGCUGUUUUGGAGUAUCUCAAAGGAGCUCAGAACGACCAAAAAUUCCGCAGGAAAUCUGCGUGGAAGGCCUUUCAGCACAUUGCUGCUUAUGAUUCCGCUGUCUCAGAAUGGCUAUGGAAGCAGACUGAGGGACGUAGGUGCUUAUUUUUUAUGUGAUCCUCCUUACACUAGAUCGAGAUGUAGUGGCUUCCAGUUGUGUUGGAUACCAGCCGUCAGUGUCCUUAGAUACGGUGUGGAGCUUGCUGUUGCAGAUAAGAGUGAUGAAGCUGUUUACGUCGGUUCUGGUGGGGAGAUAACAAAACUAACUAAUAUUAGAGCCGCUGAAGCUGGGCACCUUCACGCCGCAAGUGUUGAGAAUCGUAAAGACAGCCAGCUCCCUCUGUCCAUAACUUGAUGGGAGAAACAUACAGUUUUCAGCUAGGCUGACACAUUUCAGUUUGACUUCUAAUCAUCAGACCUUCACGAUUUCAUCCAUUUUUAAUAAGCGUAACUGUCCACCAGUCCCAGAUUUCGUUGUUGAUGGAGUGAGCUCACUUACCAUCAAUGUCUGUGCCGGUCCUCCUGAUAAUGAGAAUGAACCAGCUGGUGAAACAACUGCAGGUGGUGCAUCGGUCACGAACUUGCUGAUCCCGACGAGUUUAAAGCAACUAAGAAGGCACGCCUUACAUAGAUUGAAGAGGAUAGUCGUCAGCCACGGCGUCGGCUCCUAGAAUCAUACUUGUGCAUAGUUGUUGGCAUGUUGCUUUUAUUACAUCAUCUGGCGUAAACAGUUUACAACUGACUAUAAACCCAAUCAUGUUUGGAAAUUCAUUAUCUUUGUCUACAAGUCGGUGAACUAUUCUAUUUGCGUAUUA